rnacentral:rRNA from 1 species
GUGGGUGAAGAAGGCCUUCGGGUUGUAAAUCCCUGUCAGGAGGGAAGAACCCUUUCCGGGCAAAUACCCCGGGAAGCUGACGGUACCUCCAAAGGAAGCACCGGCUAACUCCGUGCCAGCAGCCGCGGUAAGACGGAGGGUGCAAGCGUUGUUCGGAAUUACUGGGCGUAAAGCGCGUGUAGGCGGUCGUACAAGUCGAAUGUGAAAGCCCGGGGCUCAACCCCGGAAGCGCAUUCGAAACUGUACGGCUUGAGUACGGGAGAGGGAAGUGGAAUUCCUGGUGUAGAGGUGAAAUUCGUAGAUAUCAGGAGGAACACCGGUGGCGAAGGCGGCUUCCUGGACCGAUACUGACGCUGAGACGCGAAAGCGUGGGGAGCAAACANGAUUAGAUACCCUGGUAGUCCACGCCGUAAACUGUGAGCGCUAGGUGUAGCGGGUAUUGACCCCUGCUGUGCCGUCGCUAACGCAUUAAGCGCUCCGCCUGGGGAGUACGGCCGCCAGGUUA